GCUGCUUCGUCCGACCCAUAUAUAGACAUCUCGAAUCCCGAGCCAUGAAUUACCGAUCGUGGUGCGUAUUGGUUGCUGCUGUCUUGAGCAACCUGGCCACUGCCAAGUGUGCCAGCCUGGAAGGCGCCGCGCUGCGACUGAAGGAUUUGACUUCAAGCGGAGGACCAGCCGGCUUGGACUCCAUCCAUGGCAUUGCAAACAAAAAGGAGUUCCGGAACUACACGUCGGAGCACCGCGAAGUGAUCUGCAGGCCACUGGAAGGCGGCGGCAUUGAGUGCAAAACCACUAAAAUCACUUCUAAUGUUUCCUUGUCCUGGACUCCGGGAAUCAUCGCCGGCCUUGCGGUGGGACUGGUCGUGCUUCUCGUCUGCGUGACCGUCUGCUGCGUCUUUUGCUGCCGGGGAGUGUGCGCAAGGAGAAACACGCAGACAACGCUGGUGCACCAGGUACCGCACCAGGUGACCACGGGACCAGGGACCCACUCCUUUCCGCAAGGUGCUUACCCUAAACAGCCGCGCUGAUUGUCGUCUUCGCUUCGAGUACAACCCGAAAGCAACUGAGCCAGCGAAUGCGUCGACCCUGUAAAUGCUCAACUGUGCCACGACAGACAAAUCGUAAAAAUAUAAAAAAAAUAUGAAAAAAAAAAAAAGAACUUCUGUGUGCACCUCCGAGAAACCUCUGUGCUAUUUGCAAUUUGAAUUUAUACGAAAUGGACAACACAGCGUUUUCUAUAUCCAUCGCCCGACAUGCGCAAGUCGGUCCCUUUGGACAAAGAACACCUCUUGUCUCUCUUCAACAUUUCUCUCGCACAAAUUAAUUUAAUAAAAAAUCACUAAUGACCA